GACGAACGCUGGCGGCGUGCCUAAUACAUGCAAGUUGAGCGCUGAAGGUUGGUACUUGUACCAACUGGAUGAGCAGCGAACGGGUGAGUAACGCGUGGGGAAUCUGCCUUUGAGCGGGGGACAACAUUUGGAAACGAAUGCUAAUACCGCAUAAAAACUUUAAACACAAGUUUUAAGUUUGAAAGAUGCAAUUGCAUCACUCAAAGAUGAUCCCGCGUUGUAUUAGCUAGUUGGUGAGGUAAAGGCUCACCAAGGCGAUGAUACAUAGCCGACCUGAGAGGGUGAUCGGCCACAUUGGGACUGAGACACGGCCCAAACGCCUACGGGAGGCAGCAGUAGGGAAUCUUCGGCAAUGGACGAAAGUCUGACCGAGCAACGCCGCGUGAGUGAAGAAGGUUUUCGGAUCGUAAAACUCUGUUGGUAAAGAAGAACGUUGGUGAGAGUGGAAAGCUCAUCAAGUGACGGUAACUACCCAGAAAGGGACGGCUAACUACGUG
rnacentral:rRNA from 1 species